rnacentral:rRNA from 1 species
AUCUACGGCCAUGCCAUCCUGAAUGCACCCGAUCUCGUCUGCUCUCGGAACCUAAGCAAGGUCGGGCCUGGUUAGUACUUGGAUGGAGACCUGUAGGCAUUAAAAA